AUUGAACGCUGGCGGCAGGCUUAACACAUGCAAGUCGAACGAGUGGCGGACGGGUGAGUAAUGUUUGGGAAUCUAGCUUAUGGAGGGGGAUAACUACGGGAAACUGUAGCUAAUACCGCGUACCAUAGGAUGAGCCCAUGUGGGAUUAGUUGGUUGGUGGGGUAAAGGCUCACCAAGCCGACGAUCCCUAGCUGGUCUGAGAGGAUGACCAGCCACAAGGGGACUGAGACACGGGCCAGACUCCUACGGGAGGCAGCAGUGGGGAAUAUUGCACAAUGGGCGCAAGCCUGAUGCAGCCAUGCCGCGUGUAUGAAGAAGGCCUUAGGGUUGUAAAGUACUUUCAGUGGGGAGGCGUUACCGACAGAAGAAGCACCGGCUAACUCCGUGCCAGCAGCCGCGGUAAUAC
rnacentral:rRNA from 1 species